GCUCUUGAGCUGUCUCCUUUGUUUAAAGAAAAUAAUAGUUAAAUAAAUGGAAGUUGGCCGCCAAUGCUUCCAACACAUUUUGGUGCCAUAUCUACAAGUGGCUGGUGACUGUAAGCAUCUCAGCAACCUGCAUGCAUCUAUGCCAUUCCUAUCAUGGUGCAUGGAGCAAGCUUCACAUAACACUCAGACAGAGACAGUUUAAUUAUGGUUACAUAUCAGACUCAGUUUAUUGCUCAGUCUAUUAGAUGCAGUGCUGUUAAUAUUGUUAGUGGUAGUAUUAGUACAAUUAAUGUAUUUAUUUUAAUUAAUUUAUCAUUAUUUAUUUACUAUAUUCUUAGUGUUUGAAAAUUCCAAUACUAGCAUUAAGAUAAACAAAAAUAUCAGAAAUAUAUUUAUACUCAUUAAUUAUUAUUGCUUUUCUUAUUAUUACUUCCUUCAAUGUCCUGGCACUUUGACAUCUAGUGUUUUUCUGUCUAGCAGCCAAAACUGUGGUCUUUCUGAAUGUGUAUGUCCUAAGUCUUCAUUGAUGUAUCUAGCUAUAUAACAGAAAUCUGCAUCUCUCUCCCUUCUCACCCAGUUGUCCCCGUACAUCCUUUCAGUAUCCAAAGAAUUUCAAUUUACAUCUUGUAAUCACUCAACUAAUGCAGUGCAAUCCUCAUCUCUGUAUUUUACUGUGUGGACAUACUCUUUCCUUCCAUGUUCCACUGUCGUUUGUUAUUCCACAUCUAACACAACUACAUCCCAACAGAUCCGAACACGUCCGAUAUCAUCCAAGAGAAUGUGGCAGCUGAAGGGGGAGAGGCCAAGGGUGAAGACAUUUAGCCACCCCCCCUGAAGUACAUGGCAUCAUUCAACCCUCUUGGUGAGCUGCAGGAAUGUGCUUCCCAUUGCAGUGCACCAGCUCCAUGUACUGAUUUUGGUGUGAACUUGAUGGGGUUGGAGGAAACUCGACUUGGCCAUCAAGCUCACCACAAUAUAACAUGAAAAGUGAAAAUUGCUGCACAUAACAGUCUGUCGUCUGCACAGGGAGGCAAGGCAGCUCAAAGCCCAGGCUGUUACAAAUCCUGGGCAGUUUUUGCCCAGAGCCAGCAAUUUUUUAGAUCCAAUAGGAAUGGAUUUUUUCUGAGGUCAGGUUCAACAUGCUGCAAGAUGCCAAGAUCUAAGCCUAGUAGGAGAUAUGGGUUACAAGAGAGGAGGUUUGCUCUGGCCUUAUACUUUCAAAGUCCAAAUGCUAAUAGAUUUCUGAGCACAGUAUUUCACUUGUCUUCAGUUUCAACACUUUACUCAUGACUCAGGGGUAUUUCAGUACAUGUUGGCUGGAGCAAACAGACUCUGACAGCCCUGCAGCAAAGAGCACAGGCUUUGUCAAAAGAAGAGAAACUUUGUGGGAUUUGCCAUUAUUUAGUAUUACUCUUGUUACGCCAAGAAUUUUUUUCCAUAUACUUUGCCAAAUAUUGCAAGUAAUGCACCAUUGUUGGGCUUGCUUGUUAUAAAUCAGAUCUUGUUCAAUUAACAAGCUUUGGGUGUCUGCCACUUUCCAGUUGUAAUGCAAGGAAUCAUUUAUCUUCCCUGCUAGAUAUCACACGUAAUGCACCAUUGUUGGUUUUGCCUGUUUUAAAUCAGAUCUUGUUCAGUUAAAAAGCUUUAGGUGUCUGCCACUUUCCAAUUGUAAUGCAAGGAAUCCCCUGCCAGAUAUCGCAUGUAAUGCACCAUUGUUGGUUUUGCCUAUUAUAAAUCAGAUCUUGUUCAGCUCACAAGCUUUGAAUAUCUACCAUUGUUUAUUUUAGGUGUAAUGCUUGGAAGCAUUUGUUCUCUUACCUACCCAACAGUAUGCAAUAUUUUAUUGUGGAUUUUGCCUGUUAUAUUUAAUCUUGUUCAGGUAACAAGCUUUUGGUGUCUGCCUUACCUAAUAUGUCCUGCAGUGACACUUGGCUUGGUUUCAUUAUUACUUUCAUAAUGUGAAAUACAGCAUGUAAUUUCAUCACACUAAGUGUCUAUCAUCACGUGUCUGGCAUCAUUAAUGUGGCUUCCAGGAGUAAUCUUGUUUGUAUUACAGCUUGCAAAUUUUUUUCUGCUUUAUACGAUAUACAUAAUCACAUAGGUAUGAUUUACAAAAUGUAAUGGCAGUUGAUAUUUUUGACUAAUGCCUCAUAAACCUUGUGAAAAAUAAUGCUUUUUUUGAAAGGGGGGGGGG